UACGUAGGGGGCGAGCGUUGUCCGGAGUUACUGGGCGUAAAGCGCUUGUAGGCGGUCCACCAAGUUUGGGGUGACAGUUGCCGACUUAAUCGGCAAAGUGCCUCAAGGACUGGCGGACUUGAGGGCCACAGAGGGACAUGGAACUCCAGGUGUAGUGGUGAAAUGCGUAGAUAUCGGAAGGAACGCCGGUGGCGAAAGCGGUCUGCUGGACGCCUUCUGACGCUGAGGCGCGAAAGCCAGGGGAGCGAACGGG
rnacentral:rRNA from 1 species